CGUGUAGGCGGUGCGGUAAGUUGGGCGUGAAAUCCCCGGGCUCAACCCGGGGCGGUCGUUCAAGACUGCCGUGCUAGGGUGCGGGAGAGGGAAGUGGAAUUCCCGGUGUAGCGGUGAAAUGCGUAGAUAUCGGGGGGAACACCGGCGGCGAAGGCGGCUUCCUGGACCGUAACCGACGCUGAGGCGCGAAAGCUAGGGGAGCAAACAGGAUUAGAUACCCUGGUAGUCCUAGCCCUAAACGAUGAACACUGGGUGUAGCCCUGUACGGGGCUGUGCCGAAGCUAACGCAUUAAGUGUUCCGCCUGGGGAGUACGGUCGCAAGGCUGAA
rnacentral:rRNA from 1 species